rnacentral:rRNA from 1 species
UGAGGAAUAUUGGUCAAUGGCCGGAAGGCUGAACAGCCAAGCCGCGUGAAGGACGAAGGUGCCAAGCAUUGUAAACUUCUUUUGUCAAGGGACAAAAUCAGGCUCGAGAGCCUGACCGAGGGUACUUGAAGAAAAGCAUCGGCUAACUCCGUGCC